CGCUCUCAGCUGCUGCUGGCUUACUGGCUGCUGCUAGAGUACUGCCGCGGUGGUGUGUAGACUUUACCUACAAAUUUAACGAUGAGCGCCCGAAGUCACGCACUUUUAUGACUGAAACGUUAACUCUUGAGUAACAAAAUACAUAUAAACACGCAAUGGAUGCCUUAAAACAGCCUGUUGAGGAAGGAAAUGGCGACGCCGGUCUCGUAUUGGAGAACCCUUUCGAGCUGGACGACCCAGCGUUUGACGAAGUCGAUGUGCACAUACAAGAAAACCUUGAAGAUGAGUUUAUCCAAGAAGCGUUGCAAUCGGGCAUGGACCUGAGGCAGUAUUCGCUUCAGGUUGAAAAAGACCUCAAAGAAGUCGAGAAUGCUUCGAUCCAGGACUAUAUCAAGGAGAGUGUCAACAUUGCAAGUCUUCACAACCAAAUAGCAGCCUGUGAUCAAAUACUUGAGCGAAUGGAGAACAUGUUGAAGACGUUCCAGGAGGAUUUGGGCAGCAUCAGUCACGAAAUCCUGACACUUCAGCAGCAGUCAGUGUCAAUGAACCUUCGUCUGAAGAACAGACAGGCUGUUCGAGGUGAACUCAGUCAGUUUGUCGACGACAUCAUCGUGCCUGAAAGCAUGAUACUGAACAUCCUCGAGACACCUGUUACGGAAAAAGAGUUUCUGGAGCAGCUCUAUGUUCUGGAUCACAAGAUCUCCUUUGUCAAGGAGCAGUCCUUCAAGGACUCCAGGUCAUGCCAAGAUGUCAGGGACAUACUCGAGAAGCUAAAGCUGAAGGCCAUUGGAAAGAUUCGAGAGUACCUGCUGCAGAAGGUGUACUUGUUUCGCAAGCCCAUGACAAACUACCAGGUGCCCCAAAAUGCCAUGCUGAAGCACAAGUUCUUCUACCAGUUCCUCAUGACACACGAGAGGGAAGUGGCUCGAGAGAUUCGAGAUGAGUAUGUGGAUACAAUGGGCAAAAUUCUCUUCUCUUACUUCAAGACAUACACCAACCGGCUGAUGAAACUUCAGUAUGAAGAAGUUCCUGAAAAGGAUGACUUGAUGGGUGUGGAAGAUACUACAAAAAGGAGCCUGUUCAGCUCGAAACCAUCACUAAAGAACAAAUCCACAGUGUUUACAGUGGGAAGUCGCAACAAUGUGCUCACCACAGAAUUGGAGAGCCCCAUCAUUGUGCCCCAUGCUGCGCAGAAGAAUGAAGUUAGGUACCCCUUUGAAAGUCUGUUCAGAAGUCAGCAGUACGCACUGCUUGACAACGCCUGCCGCGAAUACCUCUUCGUCACUGAGUUCUUCAUUGUGUCGGGCCCUGCAGCUCAGGAGCUCUUCAAUUCGAUCAUGAACAGGACAUUGGCCAUGUUUGUGAAACAUGUGGAACUCUACGUGCAAGAUUGCUAUGAUUCCAUAGCACUGUUCCUCUGCAUUCACAUAAUACACCGGUUUCAGUUACUGAUGCACGAGAGAUCUGUACCUGCACUGGACAGGUACUGGGAGUCUUUGCUACAACAUCUCUACCCAAGGUUCGAGUACAUUCUCAAACUCAACAUUCAAAGCAUCAGGGACUGUGACCCUCAGAAACUGGGGAGCAUUGACAUGCGACCACAUUAUAUUACCAGGAGAUAUGCCGAGUUCUCCGCUGCCAUUGUCAGCAUCAACGAGAACUUUCCCAGUGAUCGUGUAGCUACGCUGCUGGCAUCUCUGCAAGGAGAAGUUGAGAACUUCAUCUUAAAGAUGGCGGCAGAAUUUCAAGGAAGAAAGGAGCAACUUAUUUUUCUCAUCAACAAUUACGACAUGAUGCUGAGUGUGCUGCUGGAGCGGACAAAAGAGGACUCCAAGGAGACAGAGAGCUUCAAGGAGCUGCUUCAGGCACGCACACAGGAGUACGUAGAGGAGAUCCUGGCUCCCCAUUUUGGCGGCAUGAUCAGCUUCGUCAAGGAGUGUGAGCUGCUCCAGGAGAGGGGCCAGGCCGACCAGAUGCAGAAGGAAGAGAAAAAAGUAGCCAUGCUUAUACGUUCGUUCAACUCAGGGUGGAAGAAGGCCAUUGAUGACAUCAACCAGGACAUCAUGCAGACCUUUACCAACUUCAAGAAUGGCACCAACAUCUUGCAGGCAGCCCUGAUGCAGCUAAUUCAGUACUACCACCGGUUCCAGAAGGUGCUAAGCCAGGCUCCCUUCAAGCAGCUCACGGUUCGCUCUGAACUCCUGAACAUCCACCACCUCAUGGUGGAGGUGAAAAAAUACAAGCCAAACUUCUGAGCCACACAGGACAAGGCUGGAAGUGUACAUAGUUUAGCUCGCAGUGUGCAGUAGAUAGUCAUUGCACAACUAGCUGCUCCUUGCCACAGUCCAGCCCUGAACAUGGCGGUGCCCAUCAAGUUUUCUGUGAAGAGGUGUAUACAAGCCUGUCAAAAGCACAGGCUUGGCUCUCAUUUUUCUCAAUUGCUGAAGUGUCUCAACAUUGCCUGCAAAAGCCAGUGACCAGUGUUCUGGCAAAGCUGAAGACCAACGUCCAAUCAAAUCAUGAUGAAUGUUUGCAACAUAUUCUUACAUGAAUUAAGUGAUUUGUCACGAAGAUUUAAUUUUACAUAUGUAAACUGCCGUUUUCUUGGUACAGGAAAGGCUAUAUGUAGGCACUAUACAUACAGGAACACUAUAUGUGAGUACUAUACUACAGGAAAGGCAGUAUGUGUCUACUAUAAGUAGACCUCCAUUAAUUUGACUCCAGUUAAUUUGAUUGUUCGGAUAAUUUGAUCCCAACUGAUCGUCCCUGCCGGCGCCUGUGCAUUUCUAUGGGCCCAUACUUUCGUUAUUUCAUUCCUAAAGUUGGCCUUCGCCAGAUAAUUCAAACUUGGAACAGUCAACAUUCACGCGCCUGACCCCUACGAUGGCCCCAAAAGCAGCUCUUUACUGGUAGCAUUUGUCUUGGGAAAGCUUAGGGGACUGAAUGAGUUGAACACACGUCGUGACGAAAAUGCCUAUUUUCGGCCUGCCCUGGGAGUAUUUUCGAGCAAAUACGGUAGCACGUAAUGUCUGAUUAUGGUAUUUGCUCGAUUCUAGCACGCCUCGUUUCUUUUUUUUUUUCGAAGCUAAUUAAUCCAACUGCUUUCGUGUCCUUUGUAUGCUUUGCCGCAUAACAUUACUGUAUUGCGGCGAAGCUGACUUUAGAAACCUGGCCGCCACUGUUCAACACAUAUUUAACCCUUGCCCAUUUUAUUGCUAAAAAAUUGGGCGAGCGUUAAAUUUUUACUUUGUUCAGGAGCUUUAAUGUUAUCUCUGCAUUAGUUUCUUUUUUUACUUUGUACGCAUUUAAAGUACGCGUGCAAUUCAUUCGGGGGCGUGUUACAAUCGAGUAAAUACUACCAAAUGAAUCGGCAGUGUUGUGCGUCUUGUUUAAUUCGAACUGCCGUAUAUUUCGAUCCAUUUCGUCGUUCCUUCCAGGGUCGUCUUAAUUGAUUUGGCUCUUGCAUCUUGUUCAUAGUCGAGGGCAUGUUAAGAUAGCUAAGCCACCACUACACCUUGUACAAUGAGCAAAACGAGAACAAGGUGAAAGCAGGAGCCAAUGUUUCGACAUGUGGACUUAUCUUCUUCAAGGUGCUUUGAAGAAGACAAGUCCACUUGUCGAAACGCUGGCUCCUGUUUUCACCUUGUUCUCAUGUUGCUCAUCGUCUUGAAUUUCUAUCUCCCACCUUCCCCGUGUUUUCCCUGGAUCACACCUUGUAGCCAUUUUGUGUUUUGUUCACGAACACACAGGAGGUGCAAAAUGUAAGCUUUCUGCGAGUAAUGGCUUCGAUUGCUACAGCAUGUAUAUAGAUUGACAAGAGCCCGUAACCUGAAGCCUCCGUAAUGUGCGUCGCUAUGGAUCAAAAGGCAUGCAUCUGCACCAACUACCCCAAUAGCAAUGUUUGUCGGAAAAAAAUAAAGCACUUCAGCUAGGAUGAAACCUAAACCUUCAUAUUUAAAACUGAUGGACCAGCCAGCCACUGCACCGGGAUGUUGACAAAGUGUGAAUGUUAAAAGCAGCGUUGCCUCAUUGAGGCAGUGAUUGUGGUGUGUGCUAUCACCAAUGACCAGCAACGAGGUUUGAAACACAAGAUGGGAAAGGGAGGGAAAAUCAAAAGAUUGUGUGCUUUCAAAACACACUGUUUGUACACCGCUAGGAAUGUCCUCUGUAACUGAUGCUACCCGAAACAGUUCCAAGUCAUACAUUGCAUGAUAACGUACUAGCUAUUAUCACAUUAACAAGGCGAGUACUGAAAGACAAAGCAUGUCAUACUUACUAAUAAUACUUUUUUGGUUGGCAUGCUCUUUUGACAUGCCAGCUAUUACUAUCACUGCUUUGCACUUUGAGAAAUACCACUUUUUUAAUGCAUUGUUGUUUGGGUACUUCUUGCACUUUCCAGGGACUAUCAUCUGUUUGUCUGCCUUUCCCAACCUACCUCUACAUCUCUCCACCUCCCUACCUACCUACCUACCUCUACCUAUCUAGCUAGCGGAGCUGCUAUCACACAAGCCCGCUACUCUAUUAUGCCACACAGGCAUCCUUAAAGAGGUAGAAUAGAACAUCCUUAAGAGCUUCUUGCAUGGUGACGUGUCACAUGUUUUUAGAAUGCUUAUGGUUUCCUGUCAGUCUUGCCUCGUCCACUAUCAAUGUGCGACCCGUGCAACACCACUGGCAGCACUCUUCAUCACGCUAGAGCUGUCACAAAUUUUGUAGCCGAGAGGGUGCUGUUCUGUCCAGCAGUAGUUGCCUUAAGUGCUGCAUGGUACCAAGAUGUUGCACCCGCAUAUAGUUUGAAUGUCGUUUGAGGAGUACAACCACACUAGCACAGAUGCCCGAUACUGUGACCAUUUGGUCACGGAUGCUUUUUCCCCGCAGUGACAUGCCUCAUAAGCAUAUUG